rnacentral:rRNA from 1 species
UCAUAUGCUUGUCUCAAAGAUUAAGCCAUGCAUGUCUCAGUACAAGCCAAAUUAAGGUGAAACCGCGAAAGGCUCAUUAAAUCAGUUAUGGUUCCUUAGAUCGUACCCACAAUUACUUGGAUAACUGUGGUAAUUCUAGAGCUAAUACAUGCAAACAGAGCUCCGACCGGAAACGGGAGGAGUGCUUUUAUUAGAUCAAGACCAAUCGGUGGCGGGCUUGCUCGUCAUCGUACAACUUGGUGACUCUGAAUAAC